rnacentral:rRNA from 1 species
AGUGAACGCUGGCGGCAUGCCUAACACAUGCAAGUCGAACGGCAGCACAGUAAGUGCUUGCUGUUACCGGGGGGCGGACGGGGGCGGAAGACGUAUACACCGGUCCCUACGUUUUGGUUGGGGCUAAGGAAGCGGGACUUAUGCCGAUACCGCACUACACCUAAGAGCGAGGGCACUGGAUCCUUCGACCUUUCGGGUUUGCAUGUGCCGGUGUCGGAUUAGCUAGUUGGGGGGGUAAAGGCCGACCAAGGCGACGAUCCGUAGCUGGUCUGAGAGGAUGAUCAGCCACACUGGAACUGAGACACGGUCCAGACUCCUACGGGAGGCAGCAGUGGGGAAUGUUGGACAAUGGGCGCAAGCCUGAUCCAGCAAUGCCGCGUGUGUGAAGAAGGCCUUCGGGUUGUAAAGCCCUUUUGUUGGGAAAGAAAUGCUUCAGGUUAAUACCCCGCGGGUCUGACGGUACCGGAAGAAUAAGCACCGGCUAACUACGUG